AAGUCGUAACAAGGUUUCCGUAGGUGAACCUGCGGAAGGAUCAUUAUCGAGUUUUGACUGGGUUGUAGCUGGCCUUCCGAGGCAUGUGCACGCCCUGCUCAUCCACUCUACACCUGUGCACUUACUGUGGGUAUCAGAUCGUGAAGCGUGCUCUUUUACCGGAGCUUGUGAAGCGUGUCUGUGCCUGCGUUUAUCACAAACACUAUAAAGUAUCAGAAUGUGUAUUACGAUGUAACGCAUCUAUAUACAACUUUCAGCAACGGAUCUCUUGGCUCUCGCAUCGAUGAAGAACGCAGCGAAAUGCGAUAAGUAAUGUGAAUUGCAGAAUUCAGUGAAUCAUCGAAUCUUUGAACGCACCUUGCGCUCCUUGGUAUUCCGAGGAGCAUGCCUGUUUGAGUGUCAUGAAAUCUUCAACCUAUAAGCUUUUGUGGUUUGUAGGCUUGGACUUGGAGGCUUGUCGGCCUUGAUCGGUCGGCUCCUCUUAAAUGCAUUAGCUUGAUUCCUUGCGGAUCGGCUCUCGGUGUGAUAAUAUCUACGCCGCGACCGUGAAGCGUUUGGCGAGCUUCUAACCGUCUCACUUGAGAGACAACUUUAUGACCUCUGACCUCAAAUCAGGUAGGACUACCCGCUGAACUUAAGCAUAUCAAUAAGCGGAGGAAAAGAAACUAACAAGGAUUCCCCUAGUAACUGCGAGUGAAGCGGGAAAAGCUCAAAUUUAAAAUCUGGCGGUCUUUGGCCGUCCGAGUUGUAGUCUGGAGAA
rnacentral:misc_RNA from 1 species